rnacentral:rRNA from 1 species
CAAGUCGAACGAGAGACAAGAGAAGUCUUGCUUUCUUUUGGAAUCGAGUGGCGGACGGUAGAGUAACAACGUAAACAACCUGCCUUCAGGAGUGGGACAACAGGAACGGAAACGACUGCUAAUACCGAAUACGCUUGGGAGACCGCAUGAUCUUCCAAGGAAAGGGUGGCCUCUACUUGUAAGCUAUCGCCUGAAGAGGGGUUUGCGUCUGAUUAGGCAGUUGGUGAGGUAACGGCCCACCAAACCUACGAUCAGUAGCCGGUCUGAGAGGAUGAACGGCCACACUGGAACUGAGACACGGUCCAGACUCCUACGGGAGGCAGCAGUGGGGAAUCUUCCGCAAUGGGCGAAAGCCUGACGGAGCAACGCCGCGUGAGUGAUGACGGCCUUCGGGUUGUAAAGCUCUGUGAUCGGGGACGAACGGUCCGUAAGCUAAUACCUUAUGGAAGUGACGGUACCCGAAUAGCAAGCCACGGCUAACUACGUG